CGGGGCGUGGGGAAGUCAGGUCGUUCCCGCCUCUCUCGGACAGAGGAGCCCGCCGGUUCGAAUCCGGCCGGCCCGA
rnacentral:tRNA from 1 species